UACAGAGGUCCCGAGCGUUGUUCGGAUUCACUGGGCGUAAAGGGUGCGUAGGCGGUCGGAUAAGUUUGAUGUGAAAUCUCCGGGCUUAACCCGGAAACUGCAUUGAAUACUAUUCGGCUUGAGGUCUGGAGGGGGGACUGGAAUUCUCGGUGUAGCAGUGAAAUGCGUAGAUAUGCGGAGGAACACCGAUGGCGAAGGCAAUCCCCUGGGCCUGCACUGACGCUCAUGCACGAAAGCGUGGGGAGCAAACAGG
rnacentral:rRNA from 1 species